AGUAAUAUAACCAUCUUUAUAUCAUCAAAGGAGUUUGUUAAUGUUAGAGAUAAAUUAAAUGAGAAAGGUUUUAGUGCUUUACAUUUAGCUGCACAAUAUAAUAACGCAAAUGUUGUGGUAUCUGCUUGAAAAUCGGGCUUUAAUUGAUAGUCCAGAUAGAGAUGAUGGUAAUACACCUUUACUAUUGGCAGCAAAAUAUAAAAAGACAAAUGCUGCUGUAUUUCUUUUUGAAAAAGGUGCAAAUGUCUUGAUCAGAAAUUGAAAGAACCACAGCAUUGCACUAUGCAAGUAGAUGUGGUGAUAAAAAACUUGUAAUAAAGAUUUCUAAAAUCUGUUAACAUUAAUGUAGAAGAUAACAAUUUGUGAGCUGAACUGGUCUUCACGGGUCUUGGUACGUGGCCUCUAUGACAAGUAGCCGGAGGAGGUUAUCAGAUUGUUAGAUGAGAAAAGAGCCAUACUUGAUGUCAAUGAUAAAAAAAAUUAUACUGCUGGUAUAUGUGCUGUAUGGAAAGGACAUUUAGAAAUUAUAGAGUAUCUAAUUGGUCAAAGUUUUUAAAUAAAUUCAACUGAUAUUAACAACAAGAAUGCUGUUCAUAUUGUACUUAAAGAAAAUCAAAUAGAAGUUAUAAAAUUUUUAG